GCCUUUAAGAAGAAGGUACAACACAGCCAACCAGGUACAUCCAUCUGUGAGUGCUGAUGGCAGUGCUGGAUCUGCACAGGUGGAACAACUUGACAAUGUAGAGGGUAAAGGAGAAACGCCAGGAACUCCAUCUACGUUGGCUCCAACUGCUACAGCAAUAAUUCAGCAGCUAAGAGACAAAAUUACUGUCCUUGAAGAUGAAAGAAAUUUCCUCAGAGAACAGCUGAAAAAGCACUGGAUAACAUCCCUACUACUUCAGCAAAACGACAUCAUUCCCCCUCAAGUUCCAGUUCCUCAGAUUCAUCAGCCUCAGACUCUGAGUCGUCUUCUUCACCGAGUGACGGGAAAAAGAGCAAGAAGGCCAAGAAGAAGAAGAAGAAGAAAGUGUCACAGUUUGGCAAAAGAAUGAAACACCCAGAAGAUGUCAAACACAGGUAUAUGUUUGUUCUUAAAACAUUCAAGAAAACACACAGCCUGAACCGAAGUUGUGAAAAACUCAACGUGGAUCGAAACACUAUUGCCUACACAGCCGUCAUUGCUGAAGUCCUUUUGGUAGCGGACAGCGAGGAGAAAUGUAGGGUUCCACCCUUUACUGGCGGCUCACUCCUUAAGUAUGCAAAAGAGGUGAAGGUUUUCCUUGAUGAUGAGCCAGAGUUAAGAGCAAGAAUAGACAAAAAGAAAAAAGAGAGAGAGUUGUUGCCCAUCUCUUACAAAAUCAAAGGGAAUUAGGAAGUUCUUCUUGCUUUUUUCUAUUUUUUUGUCACAACCUUUUGAGAAAAUGUUUGCAGUUUUAACAUGAAUAGUUUAGUUAAUGAGAAGUCUGUUUUUUCCACCUAUUUCCAGGAUUGGAUGAUGUUUUAUUAAUUUCUUUGUGAUAACUAUUCAUGUGUGAUAAGUUUUUCUUUGAAUAUUACCCAUAAGAAGUGAAACCAUAGGGUUGUUUUAUUGAUUUACUUUGUUUUAUUUUUUCGCAUGUCUUUGUGUUGUUGAUGUUGGUUGUUUGUUUGUAUUUUCAUUUUGUAAAUCCUGA